rnacentral:tRNA from 1 species
GCAGUCGUGGCCUACUGGUUAGGGCUUCGGGCUUGGAACCGAAGGGUUGCCGCCUUGCCGGUUCGAUCCCGAGCAAGGCA